AACGAACGCUGGCGGCAUGCCUAACACAUGCAAGUCGAACGAGACCUCCGGGUCUAGUGGCGCACGGGUGCGUAACGCGUGGGAACCUGCCCUUAGGUUCGGAAUAACUCCCCGAAAGGGGUGCUAAUACCGGAUAAUGUCUUCGGACCAAAGAUUUAUCGCCUUUGGAUGUUCCCGCGUUGGAUUAGCUAGUUGGUAGGGUAAAAGCCUACCAAGGCGACGAUCCAUAGCUGGUCUGAGAGGAUGAUCAGCCACACUGGGACUGAGACACGGCCCAGACUCCUACGGGAGGCAGCAGUGGGGAAUAUUGGACAAUGGGCGAAAGCCUGAUCCAGCAAUGCCGCGUGAGUGAUGAAGGCCUUAGGGUUGUAAAGCUCUUUUACCCGUGAUGAUAAUGACAGUACCGGGAGAAUAAGCUCCGGCUAACUCCGUG
rnacentral:rRNA from 1 species